rnacentral:lncRNA from 1 species
CAGGGAGAGCUUCAUCAAUCUCUCAAGUUCCUUUGCUAACAAUUUAGAGCAUCUGAGGAGUCGGCAGACACCGAUCGAAAGAGUUCGAUCAGCAUCGGCCAUCGAAAAAAUUCUGUAACGAACUAGCAUUCGUGAGGAGCUAAUCAGAUCGGGAGUUUCGUGUGGACGAUCCACGUAGGCCAGACAUAUUAUGUGGCUGUA